rnacentral:rRNA from 1 species
GAGUUUGAUCCUGGCUCAGGAUGAACGCUAGCGGCAGGCUUAACACAUGCAAGUCGAGGGGUAUAAGUAGCUUGCUAACUUAGAGACCGGCAAACGGGUGCGGAACACGUACGCAAUCUGCCCCUAUCUUGGAGAUAGCCCAUAGAAAUGUGGAUUAAUACCCAAUAGUAUAAUUGGAUGGCAUCAUUUGAUUAUUAAAGAAAUUCGGAUAGGGAUGAGCGUGCGUAAGAUUAGCUAGUUGGUGAGGUAACGGCUCACCAAGGCCACGAUCUUUAGCUGAUGUGAGAGCAUGAUCAGCCACACGGGCACUGAGACACGGGCCCGACUCCUACGGGAGGCAGCAGUGAGGAAUAUUGGUCAAUGGACGGAAGUCUGAACCAGCCAUGCCGCGUGAAGGAUGAAGGCGUUCUGCGUUGUAAACUUCUUUUAUCAGGGAAGAAACCU